rnacentral:tmRNA from 1 species
GGGGCUAUCUGGGCGACGGCGAGCCGAUCGAGGCCUGGGGCGCAGACCAUCUCGCACGCACGCCCGCAGAGCUGCUCGAGGUGCUGCAGCCCGGCCGCUGAGCAGAUGAUGCUAAGAUGACGGGUUCAGGGGCCGACCUGGUUUCGACGUGGGUGCGGAAUCGGAGCAGGGCAUGCCGAGCACCAGUUCGCUCGUAAAACCACUGGAAACAAAGUAACUGCGAACGACGAACGUUUCGCCCUCGCCGCUUAACACCGGUGAGCCUCUCAACGGUUGGCCGAUGGGCCGGGCCUGAGAUCGCAAGGUCAAGGGCUGAGAGGUCAUUCACAUUGGCUGGAUCUGAGCCGGGUCACACGGUUCAGGUCGAGAUCUCGUGACUGGCGUGUCCAAGAGGGUGUUCCUGCCCGCUUGGCGCGCGAGACUCAAAUCAGAGAACUACGCAUGUAGAACUGCCUGAGGAUGGCUUGCGGACGGGGGUUCAAUUCCCCCCGGCUCCACCA